rnacentral:misc_RNA from 1 species
UGAAGAACGCAGCGAAAUGCGAUAAGUAAUGUGAAUUGCAGAAUUCAGUGAAUCAUCGAAUCUUUGAACGCACAUUGCGCCCGCCAGUAUUCUGGCGGGCAUGCCUGUUCGAGCGUCAUUUCAACCAUCAAGCCCUGCUUGCGUUGGGGUCCUGCGGCUGCCCGCAGGCCCUGAAAACCAGUGGCGGGCUCGCUAGUCACACCGAGCGCAGUAAUACAUCUCGCUUUGGGCGUGCGGCGGGUUCUUGCCGUUAAACACCCCCUUUUUACCAAGGUUGACCUCGGAUCAGGUAGGAAUACCCGCUGAACUUAAGCAUAUCAAUAAGCGGAGGA